GGGCUGUUAGCUCAGCUGGUAGAGCAACUGACUCUUAAUCAGUGGGUCAGGGGUUCGAUUCCCCUACAGCCUA
rnacentral:tRNA from 1 species